rnacentral:rRNA from 1 species
GAUGAACGCUGGCGGCGUGCCUAAUACAUGCAAGUCGAGCGAACGGACGAGAAGCUUGCUUCUCUGAUGUUAGCGGCGGACGGGUGAGUAACACGUGGAUAACCUACCUAUAAGACUGGGAUAACUUCGGGAAACCGGAGCUAAUGCCGGAUAAUAUUUUGAACCGCAUGGUUCAAAAGUGAAAGACGGUCUUGCUGUCACUUAUAGAUGGAUCCGCGCUGCAUUAGCUAGUUGGUAAGGUAACGGCUUACCAAGGCAACGAUGCAUAGCCGACCUGAGAGGGUGAUCGGCCACACUGGAACUGAGACACGGUCCAGACUCCUACGGGAGGCAGCAGUAGGGAAUCUUCCGCAAUGGGCGAAAGCCUGACGGAGCAACGCCGCGUGAGUGAUGAAGGUCUUCGGAUCGUAAAACUCUGUUAUUAGGGAAGAACAUAUGUGUAAGUAACUGUGCACAUCUGGACGGUACCUAAUCAGAAAGCCACGGCUAACUACGU